GUGCCUGCAUAGGUUUUACAUUACUGUAGUCUAAGGAAUGGAAUAUGUAGGUAUGAUUCAAGGUUACAUCUAUAUUCGUUUGAUGGGUAUGUCAUUAUAAGCAUGGCCACAAUUAUGAAUGACAACACUGC